AUAUGUAUAUAAGCCUGUACAUAUGAAGAUUCUGGCCUUGAGAUUUGAAGAUUACAUAUAAACUAAUGUAAACAUAUACUUAAAUAUGUACAUAUUGGAUUCUUACGGAUAAUAAGGAUAGUAUGCAAGUAGGCUUUAAAUAGACUCCACCUGAAAUUAAAGGAGUUGCAAUUCCAGAUAUCUGCAUUCAGGAUGAGAUAACGUAUGUAAAAACAGCCGGAUCCAGAUGCUAUGGAUAGUGCACCCAGCAGCCCAGAGGCGCAUUUCCUACUGCCCCUAUUAAAUGGGCAUCGGUCGGCUCAAUCGUUAGUGUCGACGAGGUGAGAAUGAACAUCGUCAGCUCUUUCGCCUGGCUUAUAUCAUUCACACAACACCCAUCGCUGCGAAUUUAAAUCAUAACCUUAUUCAUGACAGAGGGGCCUGGCCGUGGUCCCGAAACUGGACCCCAGAUAUGGAGCUGGAUCUCGGAUGGACGUGGGUAAAUGAUUAGGCCGCCUGGCAGGCCACAGAUUCGAGCUUCCUCCGCCGAAGCGCUGAAUCGAAAUCAAAUUAAACUCGGUGGUGUUUCUCCCAGUUGCGUGUGUGUAUGAGGACGUCGGACGUAGGACGAAGGAGGAGGAACGCAUUGUAUAUUUUGCAAUUUGAACAGCCGCUAGUUGCCGGUACACAGACGUUUAUAAUUCGCAAAGGUGUGCGUGGUGGUGUGAAACAAAUUAAUAUCCGCUUAAAUGCUACAAAUAUCAUUAAGCAUCUUGUGCACACAAAACAUACGUAACAACACUAAUUUGAAUCGGCCGAAAUACGGAUGGGCUCGUGACAAAGUACCGAUUACUAUUCGUUCCGAUCACUCUAAGUAUUCACAACCUUUGAAAUUCCCCUUUGAUGUACCGGCAAUAACAAAAAACAUGAUGGUUUUGUUAAUGGAUUUCUAUAAAGGCUUCCGACUGUUAAAAGACCCGACUGGGAGAACACCCGUGGCGAUAAUUUAAAGCCACUGUCUAAGCCAGCAUACCUUUUUAUACCCUUGCGUGGGGUAUGGAGGCUUUGGCCAACGUUGACUGCAAUCAGCAUGGCAAGUCAUUUAAACUCUGGAAGAUUGGGAGUCUUCGGUGGAUCCUUUAUUAAUUUCAAAU